UACGUAGGGGGCAAGCGUUGUCCGGAUUUAUUGGGCGUAAAGAGCGUGUAGGCGGCCUGAAAGGUCAGCUGUGAAAACUCGAGGCUCAACCUCGAGACGUCGGUUGAAACCAUCUGGCUAGAGUCCGGAAGAGGAGUGUGGAAUUCCCGGUGUAGUGGUGAAAUGCGCAGAUAUCGGGAAGAACACCCGUGGCGAAGGCGGCACUCUGGGACGGUACUGACGCUGAGACGCGAAAGCGUGGGGAGCGAACAGG
rnacentral:rRNA from 1 species